rnacentral:lncRNA from 1 species
UGGGUCCCUUCCAAAUUCGUCCGGCCGUAUGUCCCCAAAGUCCAAAAACGCGAGCCAGAUGGUCCUCAGGUUGGGCACGCCGCCCUCCGGCGGCGGAGAAGGUCCCUUUCCCCCAUUCCCAAGGCUCCCGAGCCCCUCUCACCUAGUCCCCCCUUACCUCUUUGUGGCUCCGCAGAGUCCCUAUUCCUUUACCAUAUAGACCUCCCCAAAUUUGAUUAUUAAUUUGUGUUUUAGUUAUUUUCCAGACACGCGCACCACCAGACCACCCAGCAUGCUUCCAUCUCUAAGCCUCAUCCUUCUGGGCCUCACCAUCGCCCCGAGACCCCUGCAAGCCUGGAUCGUACCACAGCCGCCAGCAAAUGUUUGGACCACCCUUGCCAAAUCCCUUAAUCAAGACCAUUUAUGUUUAUCCACUACCUCUGCUGCCAACCCCUUUCUGUCCUGUCUCGUGGGGAUCCCAUACCCUAUAAUUAAGUUUCCUUUCACCCUCCCUUUAAACCCCUCCGCCCUCCACAUAAAAAAUGACACCAACCCGUUUAUCUCCCAACCCCUAAACCCACCAGAUGCGUGGAGGGCGUGGGUCAGAACCUUCCCGGUUAUGGCAAAAGAGCCCGAAGAACUUGAACUACUCGGCUCUUCCCUUGCCUAUACCUGCUUCCGUUUCCUUGAUUAUAACCCAUAUGUCCAUCCCAAAAGAAUAAUCAAACAAACAAUCACAGAAUACCAAGAUAAAAACUGGUGCAAAAAAGUGAUCUAUAUCUCAGACUUUUCAACCCCUGACAACAAGCCCCAUUCCCUUCCUAAGGGUGUGUUUUUAAUUUGUGGAAAUCAAGCUUGGGCAGGCAUCCCCCCUCACCUGGUCGGAGGGCCAUGCGCAUUCGGACAGCUGAGCUUGUUUACACCCAACAAAACUCACAUAGCACAUUGGAAACAACUAAAUCAAACAGGUCAAUUGGCUCGCCAAAAAAGAGAUACUGGGCUCACAGAUUGGGACGAAAAUUGUAAUGAUGAGGUCACCCAUUGGGCAAAAGCAAAGAGCGUUGCUACCAUUGCAUUUUUACCAUGGAUAGGAAUCGCUCAAGCAUUCAAUGAAUUGGCUGGUCUUGAAUGCUGGGUAGCUAAACAAGCCAACCUUACGUCAGCUGCUCUAAGCAACCUCCUAGCAGAUGAGGAAGUCACGAGACAGGCA